UUGUUGGCGGCAGCUACCAUGCAGUCGUACGAGAAGGUUCUUUCGGGAACUGGAGAGUGGCGCACGGGUGAGUAACGCGUGGGGACCUACCUCUUAGUGGGGGAUAACGGUUGGAAACGACCGCUAAUACCGCAUACGCCCUUCGGGGGAAAGAUUUAUCGCUAAGAGAUGGACCCGCGUUGGAUUAGAUAGUUGGUGAGGUAACGGCUCACCAAGUCAGCGAUCCAUAGCUGGUUUGAGAGGAUGAUCAGCCACACUGGGACUGAGACACGGCCCAGACUCCUACGGGAGGCAGCAGUGGGGAAUAUUGGACAAUGGGCGCAAGCCUGAUCCAGCCAUGCCGCGUGAGUGAAGAAGGCCUUCGGGUUGUAAAGCUCUUUCAGAUGCGAAGAUGAUGACGGUAACAUCAGAAGAAGCCCCGGCUAAUUUCGUGCCAGCAGCCGCGGUAAUACGAAAGGGGCAAGCGUUGUUCGGAUUUACUGGGCGUAAAGGGCACGCAGGCGGUCCUGCCAGUCAGGGGUUU
rnacentral:rRNA from 1 species